UUGGGUUAAGUCCCGUAACGAGCGCAACCCUUGUCCUUAGUUACCAGCACGUUAUGGUGGGCACUCUAAGGAGACUGCCGGUGACAAACCGGAGGAAGGUGGGGAUGACGUCAAGUCAUCAUGGCCCUUACGGCCUGGGCUACACACGUGCUACAAUGGUCGGUACAGAGGGUUGCCAAGCCGCGAGGUGGAGCUAAUCUCACAAAACCGAUCGUAGUCCGGAUCGCAGUCUGCAACUCGACUGCGUGAAGUCGGAAUCGC
rnacentral:rRNA from 1 species